rnacentral:rRNA from 1 species
UACAGAGGUCCCAAGCGUUGUUCGGAUUCACUGGGCGUAAAGGGUGCGUAGGCGGCUGUUCAAGUCGAACGUGAAAACUCGGAGCUCAACUCCGAGCCUGCGUUCGAUACUGGACGGCUAGAGUCUGGUAGGGGGAUCUGGAAUUCCUGGUGUAGCGGUGGAAUGCGCAGAUAUCAGGAGGAACACCGGUGGCGAAGGCGGGAUCCUGGGCCAGUACUGACGCUGAGGAGCGAAAGCGUGGGGAGCAAACAGG